rnacentral:rRNA from 1 species
UACGGGGGGGGGCAAGCGUUGUUCGGAAUUACUGGGCGUAAAGGGCCUAUAGGCGGCCAACUAAGUCGGAUGUGAAAGCCCCGGGCUUAACCUGGGAACUGCGUCGGAUACUGGAUGGCUUGAAUCCGGGAGAGGGAUGCAGAAUUCCAGGUGUAGCGGUGAAAUGCGUAGAUAUCUGGAGGAAUACCGGUGGCGAAGGCGGCAUCCUGGACCGGCAUUGACGCUGAAGCGCGAAAGCUAGGGGAGCAAACGGG